rnacentral:rRNA from 1 species
CACGUAGGGCGCAAGCGUUGUCCGGAAUUAUUGGGCGUAAAGAGCUCGUAGGCGGACUGUCACGUCCGCUGUGAAAAGCUAGGGCUUAACCCCGAGCCUGCAGUGGGUACGGGCAGACUAGAGUGUGGUAGGGGAGACUGGAAUUCCUGGUGUAGCGGUGAAAUGCGCAGAUAUCAGGAAGAACACCCGUGGCUAAGGCGGCUCUCUAGUACGGUACUGACGCUGAGACGCGAAAGCGUGGGGAGCGAACAGG